UAUGGUGUAAUUUGGGAUGUACACAAAAGAGCCUAAGCUUAAAGUGAUUAUAUGGUUGAAUAACUCUUUCUCUCCCUCUCUCUCUCUCUCUCUCUCUCUCUCACUCUUUCUUUCGCUCUUCCCUUCCUCUUUCUCUCUCAGCACUAUGUUCCUCUGGCCUUGGUUUCAGAAGCUAUUCAGAGAAGUCUGAGAGAGACAGAGAGAGGGAGAGAGAGCAAGAGAGAGAGCGAGAGAACGAGAGAGAGAGAGAGAGAGAGCGAGAGAGAAAGAGAGAACUGAGCAGUGAAUGAGUAAACCUAAUUUCCAUGUCAAGAAUAAGAGAGGGAACUAGAGAGAGACAAGUGGUAUGCGAAGGGAAUAAUAUACACUUAUCAGAAGAUGUGGAGAGAAAGAGAGGGGGAAGGAGAGGAAGGGAAGAGAGAGUGGGGAGUGUGAAACAGAGAGAAAGGGGUGCACUCUAACAGAAAGAGGAAGAGAGAGCAGAGAGAGGAGAGCAAAACUGUUUUUUUCUAACCCCAUGUUGCUCACACCGUGAGAGAAUAUUUUUUUAGUUUUCUCACCACUUAUCAUAGGGAAUAAAAACCUUGUUAAACUGGGAUUUUCUUCAAUCUGAAUUCAACUGUCAAACAGAUUUAAUCUCAGACUGAUUCUUCUUGUGGGACUAGUUUUAUUAGGAUCCUACUAGUUGUCUAGUGUGGAUAUAAUACCAGUCUGUCUUUGAGAUGGGGUCCAGAACUCUUCUACUUAUUCUGGGUCUUAAUUUCAGUCUACUGGAGAACCUAGAGGCCAGAGAUUGCAGCCUGGGCUUCAUAGCCAAAGGGAGAACACUGUGUGUUGAUACAGAUGAGUGUAAAGAGUGGGACAGUACCCCACCCUGUGGAAGUAAUGCCGCAUGUUACAACACACAGGGGAGCUUCUACUGUCAGUGUCCACCUGGGUUCAUAUCCACAACGACUGUCAAAUUCACUCCUCUCAAUGGGGAUUGUAAGGGUGAGUAUUCAAGUGUGUGUGUGUGUGUGUGUGUGUGUGUGUGUGUGUGUGUGUGUGUGUGUGAGAGAGAGAGAGAAUGUCGAGGGAACAAACCAUUACUUGGUCAGAGUCCUCUUAUCUGUGAAGUAUUGAGAGUUUGUAGAGCAUGUUAAUGAUCAUCAACUUUGUGUAGGUGGGGAGAGGGGUGGAUAAUGAUAUUAUUCUAUGUGUAGGUGGGGAGGGGGGUGAUAGUGAUAUUAUCCUAUGUGUAGGUGGGGAGGGGGGUGAUAAUGAUAUUAUUCUAUUUGUUGGUGGGGAGAGAGUUAUAAUGAUAUUAUUCUAUGUGUAGAUGGGGAGGGGGGUGAUAGUGAUAUUAUUCUAUGUGUAGGUGGGGAGGUGGGUGGAUAAUGGUAUAUUCUAUGUGGAGGUGGGGAGGGGGGUGAUAAUGAUUUUAUUCUAUGUGUAGGUGGGGAGGGGGGUGAUAAUGAUAUUAUUCUAUGUGUAGGUAGGGAGGGGGGUGAUAAUGAUUUUAUUCUAUGUGUAGGUAGGGGGAGGGUGAUAAUGAAAUUAUUCUAUGUGUAGGUGGGGAGGGGGGUGAUAAUGAUAUGAUUAUAUUUGUUGGUGGGGAGAGAGUGAUAAUGAUAUUAUUCUAUGUGUAGGUGGGGAGGGGCUGGAUAAUAAUAUUAUUCUGUGUAGGUGGGGAGGGGGUGGAUAAUGAUAUUAUUUUAUGUGUANNNNNNNNNNNNNNNNNNNNNNNNNNNNNNNNNNNNNNNNNNNNNNNNNNNNNNNNNNNNNNNNNNNNNNNNNNNNNNNNNNNNNNNNNNNNNNNNNNNNGUCACCAUCUUCCUCCUCCUGUGCACUGAAACCAUCUCCUUCGGUGUCGGAGUUGAAUAGCCUCAGAAUUGCUUCAUCCGAUAUUGGAUCGUUUUCAUUGUCACUCUCGUCACUUUCAUCUGGAGGCAAAUCCCCCGCUGAGCCCUCUUCAACACGCAGCAGUCCAGCCUUUCGAAACCCGUUGAUGAUAGUGGAUUUUUUGACAAUGCUCCACACUAUCAGGACCCACUGGCAGACUUGACCAUAAGUUGCUCUUCGCAUGCGGCCCGUUUUAGUGAAGGAUUUCUCCCCACUUGUCAUCCAAGCCUCCCACUGAACAUGGAGCGCCAUCUUAAAUGCACGAUUUACACUGAUGUCGAGUGGCUGCAAAUACUUUGUUGUGCCCCCAGGAAUCAGGGUGACAAAAUGACUCCCGUAAUCAGAAUGAUGGGAAGUUUGAGAGCGCUCGAUUUAAUCUAAACAGUAAACAAAAAAGUUGUUUGACCUUAACCCGUUCGGCAAUUUCAUUGGUCUAAUGAAAGCUUCAUGCCGCCAAAAAACUGAGCACGUCACAGAAUGUGUUUUUUGGGGGAAAAAAUUUGAAAGCGGGAAAAAUCCAUAUAUUAGCCGCGUCAUUGUUUAAGCCGCGACGUUCAAAGCCUGGGAAAAAAGUUGCGGCUUAUAGUCCGGAAUUUACGGUAGCUCUUUUUAAUUGUGGCCAUAAAAACUGUUUUUAACACGCGAUU
rnacentral:lncRNA from 8 species